GAUGAACGCUGGCGGCGUGCCUAAUACAUGCAAGUCGAGCGAAUGGAUUAAGAGCUUGCUCUUAUGAAGUUAGCGGCGGACGGGUGAGUAACACGUGGGUAACCUGCCCAUAGGACUGGGAUAACUCCGGGAAACCGGGGCUAAUACCGGAUAACAUUUUGAACCGCAUGGUUCGAAAUUGAAAGGCGGCUUCGGCUGUCACUUAUGGAUGGACCCGCGUCGCAUUAGCUAGUUGGUGAGGUAACGGCUCACCAAGGCAACGAUGCGUAGCCGCCCUGAGAGGGUGAUCGGCCACACUGGGACUGAGACACGGCCCAGACUCCUACGGGAGGCAGCAGUAGGGAAUCUUCCGCAAUGGACGAAAGUCUGACGGAGCAACGCCGCGUGAGUGAUGAAGGCUUUCGGGUCGUAAAACUCUGUUGUUAGGGAAGAACAAGUGCUAGUUGAAUAAGCUGGCACCUUGACGGUACCUAACCAGAAAGCCACGGCUAACUACGUGCCAGCAGCCGCAGUAA
rnacentral:rRNA from 1 species